CCUAGACUUUCACUCCUUAUCAGAAUGACUUAAGAAGCUGCAGGAGCUGCAAGGUAAAUCUCAAUCUCAGGAUGUUUCUGUCCCCUCUACCGCAAGGCAACGUGAACGUAUGGAGCUGCCUAAUAUUGAGCCGGCCCAUCUCUCACUCACUAUUAUCUAUUCUGACCAGCAGCAAAUCUCCAGGGUGCUGGCCAGAGGUCUCCCCACAACAUCUGCUACCUGAACCAUUUAACUGGAGAUGCUCUGCAUGCAAAGUAUAUAUUCUAUAUCAUUGUACUGUGGUCCCUCCCCCUGUGUGUACGCUGUGUGCAUUGUUUGGCUUGGGCAUGGAAAAAGCCAAGUUCAAGGCCCUGCUAAAAUCUGAAGCCAAAGGGAGCCUCGAGUAGCUCCUGCCGUUUGGACUAAAAGUGCUAUCCUUUAUCCACAUGACUUUAGAAGACGAUUAGACAAAUUCAUGGUGUAGUAGCGAUGAUGGCCAUUGUCAGGGUCUGCCACAAGGAGCCUGUCAUUGGGGUAUCUGGUUGUGCCCUUUCAGGUUUUUGUGCCCGGGGCAGCUGCCCCGGAGGGCCCCUCCCACGCUACACCACUGUGUUGUGCUCAUGUCUAGCUUGCAGGCUUCCCAAAGGCAUCUUGUUGGCCAAGUAAAGACCAGGAUACGGCCUGGGUGGGACAGUCUGAUCCAGCAGGCUUGUCUAAGGUUCCUAGUUCUGCUUCUGGUGUAACACAGCCUUUGUGACAAAUUGUCCCCUCCUAAUUCCCCUUUAUGAGUCAAUUCCUGUCCCUCUGGUGGUGGGCUUUAAUUAUUCGCUUCCUCUUUUUCUUUUUCAUGUCUUGUAAUAUGGUGCUAUAAAAAUGGGAGGAAACAAGCAAUUCAACCCUUCCAGAGGGGAACAGAAACUGACUAAUUCAUUACUAAUGCCACGCCACACUGAACGGGAAGCAAUUAGAGGCAGAAGACGCAAUGAUGAUGCUGUUAAUUAAAUGCGAUAGCAACCUAUGCGGAACCAGACCUGCUUCUGAGUAAACAUUAUAAAAGCAUCUAGGUCCUAGGAGCAGGCAUGCCUACAUUAAGUGCAACGUGAAACCAGGAUUUUAAUUCUGUUUAAGCUGAUUCUGUUAAAGAAAAGCCUCAGUGACACAACAGAGCCAUCAUGUGAAGAAAGCAACUUCACAAGGUGUUGAGUCUAAAGUGUGACUCUAAAGUCCCCAAAGAAUCCUAGGAGAUAUAGGAGAGUUGUUAGAAGGCCACUUAACAAACUACCUAUAUCUAUCGAUAUCAAUAUAUUUAUCAAUAUAGAUAUUGAUAUUGAUAUAUACUGUAUGUAUAUUUGGAGCGAGAGCCAUAACCGUUAAAGUGACAUGAGUACUUCAAAUGUAUGCUGUGGGUAUAAAUUAAGUUAGCUAGUACAAUGUUGCAACUGCAACCUCCAACAAAAUGUUCCCUGUUCUAGAUACCUGUCACUGGAUUCCAUAACAACAACAACAACAACAACAACAAUUUAUUGUUUGUACCCCGCCCAUCUGGCUGGGUUUCUCCAGCCACUCUGGGUGGCUUCCAACAAAGAUUACAAAUACAUUAAAAUGUCACACAUUAAAAACUUCCCUGAACAGGGCUGCCUUCAGAUGCUUUCUAAAUGUCAGGUAGUUGUUUAUCUCUUUGACAUCUGAUGGGAGGGUGUUCCACCACUACCGAGAAGGCCCUCUGCCUGGUUCCCUGUAGCUUUGCUUCUUGCAAUGAGGGAACCGCCAGAAGGCCCUUGGCGCUGGGCCUCAGCAUCCGGGCAGAACAAUGGAGGUGGAGACGCUCCUUCAGGUAUACUGGACCGAGGCCGUUUAGGGCUUUAAAGGUCAACAUUCCAUUGCCCCUCUCCUCCAGUUUUCCAUUUCUCCCAAGUCACUCAGUGUUUUGUGGCUACUGAGUGCACACUUAAGUCUUCAUUGGGCUGUUUUUAAGAGUGUUCCCCCCCACUGGGUUAGGAUUCCUGAUUAAAACUUUUUUUUAGGGGGUGGGUAUUUCUGCAAACCUUGCAGUUCCCUUACGCCUCUUAAAACCUCUCCGUUGUGCAUGUGUGCUGCCAUUUUGGAUGCAAAAGGACUGGCACACACCGCUUGAACAUUGGAAAUAGAAGGAAUGACCACUAGCUGUGGUAUUCUGCCCCCCCAAAACCCUUUAUGCACAAGCAGAUAAGUCUUUAGUCCCUAGCUCAAACUUUCUCCUAUUAAUAUAUAUACCGUAUCUUUUGAAUGUAGUCUAGGGAGAGAAUUGUGCCCCCCUCCCAGAAUGGUGACAGUUUUGCAGUAGGAAUGAUUUAUGCUAACCGCUGAAUGCUCUCAUCUCUGUCAUGCGGAGCACUUGGAAUAAUAAGUGGCAGACAUUAGUAUGAAGCUUGAUUGCUUCGGAAUCUUCAAGUGAUUGAAAAGUUGUUUUUGUUGUCUCUGUAUGUGUGCUUUUAUUCCUGUUACUGAUGGCAAUGAAUUAGAGGUACAUUACAAGCCCAGAGUGCAGGUAUCUUGUUUGGGGGAAAAAAAAGUCUGGGAGACCACAGGAGAUUGCUUGGUCUGAAAUAAAUGGAGCUAUUAUCAAAAUCUAAAAUCUUCUAAGAUGAAUUACCUGCUUUCAGAGUGUUUUUCCCUUUCUUCUUCUUAAAACCCACUGCCCUUUUCAAAGAGGGGCUGACGUUCUUUGCCAAGCCUCUAAUAACCAAGCCCAGAGGGCUUUGAUGGAGCCUAUGGACUUUGAUAAAAGUUGUGUUGACUUUCUGGAGAACUGCUGCCAAACUGAAGUGGCUGUCCCACACAGCCACCCCCCACCUCCCUAAUGCAAAAAUGAUGGAUGUUUUCACGAGUGACACUUAAAUAGCUUUUCUUCGUUUAGUUUCUUCCUUUGUCUUUUCUGCUUCUGUAACAGACAUCUUCUAGACUGUGUACAGUCAGCCUGAAAAAGAAUCCCCUCCCACCUUAAUUACACAACACAAGUAGUGCAAUAGAAACUCAGUAUUGCAUUCCAUGGUGUGUAAGCCACCCUUUGACAUGGCUUACAGCUACUGACUGGAUAGUCUUGGAUGCAUUUGCUUUAUAUUGAGCCAGGCCAUUGGUCCAUCUAACUCAUUACAGUGGAACCUCGGCUUUCGAACGCCGAAAACCCGGAAGUAACUGCUUUGAUUUUCGAAUGAUUUUUGGAAGCCAGACAUGCUACAUGGCUUCCAUUUUGAGUUUCCCUAUUGUGGAGAGGCUUCCAUAUUGAGUUUUCAGUUUUCAAACAUUUCGGAAGUCUAACGGUCUUCCAGAAUGGAUUAUGUUCAAAAACCGAGGUUCCACUGUAUUUGAAAGCAGUGAAUUGACCUAAAACUAUCACUUUGCUCCUAUAGCACCAUCAGGGCUUUUCCCCCCAGGCGGAACUCAGUUCUGACACCUCUUAGGUGGGCACCAUUGCCAAGCGAAGCGUUUGUCGUGAGUUCCGGCACCUCUUUUUCUAGAAAAAUAGCAUUGAGCACCGUAAACACUAACAAAUAUAUUAUGGCAUAAACAUUUGUGCCAGUGCGUUUUCUUGCAUCGCUUGCAACUGAUGAAGCUUUGCCAAAAUAAAUUUGUUUCUGUUUCAGAAACUACAUAGAUUCUUUGUUGUUUUUGCUCUGGAAGUUGUUAAUUGACCUAAUAAACGAAAGCAUCAAGGGACUAAUUGUCUGGCAUUCGUUAUUAACAGGUUUCCUACUUUUGAGAUCCAGGCACCAGAAAAAAUAAUCCAACAAAGGGAGACAGUUAAUUGCAUGAUCAUUGGGGUUGGGGGGAGAACAGCCCCUAAAGACAACAUUGGAGAACAAAUUCCUUGGAGACAAAGAUAAGAACCUUCUAAGCCUCUCAAUUGCUAUUUUAAAACCUCUUUUAAAGGAAAAGAUUAUGCUGCUUUGGAAACAGUACGCUCCAUUAAAAUGUAAAAUGGCUGGGAAGAUAUGCCACAAUAUGUUAAUUUUUUUCGUUUUAAGGCUAGAGAGCACCUGCUUUUUCAAAACGAGUGUCAGUUUUUGCUUUCAAAGUGUGAGUUAUUCAAAUCAGCUAAACAAAAAGGAAUCAAAGGCUAAUGUGUGAUAAUUACAUUUAAUGCUUUCCCACUCUGGUACCUAACAAACAUUUACAGCUCUUGGAUAGUGUGUGUUUGUGUGUGUUGGGAGAUUAGGCAUUUAAACUGGCAGAUCUCCUUUGUCCAUGGCCACAGGAAAUCAGAUUUCAUUCCCAAGUGCCUGGGUUUCUCAUGCUAUGCCUCUUGUGUAAUAUUGAGCUAGUAGUGAGCAGGCUUGUGAAACUUCCUGCACUCUUAAUGCUAGCCUUGAUGCACUCUUGAUGUUAGGACGUGGGUGACAUUGUGGUCUAAACCACUGAGCCUCUUGGGCUUGCCAAUCAGAAGGUCAGCAGUUCGAAUCCCCUUGACAGGGUGAGCUCCCUUUGCACUGUCCCAGUUCCUGCCAACCUAGCAGUUCGAAAGCUCGCCUGGGCAAGUAGAUAAAUAGGUACCACUGUGGCGGAAAGGUAAACGGCAUUUCCAUGUGUUCUGGUUUCCGUCACGGUGUCUCGUUGCAUCAGAAGCGGUUUAGUCAUGCUCGCCACAUGACCCAGAAAGCUGUCUGUGGGCAAAAUCCAGCUCCCUUGGCCUGAAAGCAAGAUGAACGCUGCAACCCCAUAGCUGACUGGACUUUACCUUUUACAUUUCAUUCAAAUGUUCAGGAGGGAGUGUGCUGAAGUUCUCCACUCUGCUAGACUGAGUUUACACACGUAUUGGGGAGGGUGCCACACUUUUUUGCAUGUGUAUUCGAUUCCUUGAAAAUAGGGAUGGAGAACCUCAUGUCUUGGGGUCUAAAUACAGCCCUCCAGACCUACCUACCUGGCUCUUUGAACCCUACACAGGCCACCUCUCACACUGGCCCAACUUUGCACCCCAAAUAUUUUUUCCUGGCUGCAGUGUGCCCUUGAACUCUGAUCAUGCUUCUUGCUCAUCAGAAUGGAAGGGGUGUGAGAGUCUUUGCAGAAACCAGCCUACCAUAUUUUCCUGGGAUUGCCACUGUUCAGGAGGAAUUUUAAAACAUUCCAGUUUAGCCAGGCAUUUGAGGCUGAAAGAUGGCUGGCAACCCUGAAAUCAUUGGCUGAGAGGAUGUUUUUAACUGUUUCUUGAAUACUUUUAAGAUAAUAAUAAUGAUGAUAAUAAUAAUAAUAAUAAUAAUAAUAAUAAUUUUUAUUUAUAUCCCGCCCUCCCCAGCCGAAGCCGGGCUCAGGGCGGCUAACAACAAUAAAAUAAUACAACAUUCUAAAAUCAUUUCAUUAUAAAAUUAAUUCAAAUCAAAUUGAUGGCAACCAUUGGGCUAGAGUUCUGUGAAGAUUGCCAAAGGAGUGAGUCAGGCUGUGCCCUGGCCAAAGGCCUGGUGGAACAGCUCUGUCUUGCAGACCCUGUGGAAAGAUGUCAAGUCCCGCAGGCCCCUAGUCUCUUGUGACAGAGCGUUCCACACACACACACACACACACACACACACACAACUUCAUGUGUUUGCUCCUUUGGGAGGAAGAGCAGGAUAUAAAUUGAAUGCAUGCAUGUCCAGAACCUGGUGCCCUCCAGACGUUUGGGAAAAGCCUGGCCAUGCCGUCCGGGGCUGCUGGGAGUUGUACUUUGCUGAAGGCUGUUCCAAAGGGAGCUAUUUAAUAACUGGGACAAAGAAUUCUAUGUGCUUUAUCAGAAGACAGUUUUAAAAGACCACAUCGCUUCGUCUACACAUAUAACAAUAAUCUGAUGCGGUGGAAGAAAGUGCUCUUCAGGCGGUUGUUUUUAUUUUUGAAAACAAAGGAGAGGGGAGUUGCCAAAUGUGUGACUCUCCCAAGCCGGAGAAGUUUCAAUAUGGAUAUAUUUUGGUCAUCUUAUUCUCGUUGUCUCAAAAGGGGAGGACUGUCACUUUUUGCUCCUUGCAUAUACAGAGGUUGUGUCAGGAGGAAGUUUGGUAAACAAGUGGGUGGGCUUUUUUAAAAAAUUCUUUGUCACAUGAAAGAUCGGUUUCUCUCUGGGAUUCAAUAAUACUCUCUCAAGUUCUGGAAAAAUAUAUUCUUCCUGGAUAUCUUGAUUAAGUCCCCCGAGUCGGCAUCAGCUGUUGUCCAGAUGUUGCAACCCUUCCUAAACUGCCCUCUCUCGCUGCAGAUGAGAUGAGAUCGGAUUGGGAAUAAGGAAUGUUACCCUGCCAGCCAGAGAGCUCUGAGUUCCCGGGAACUGUUUGUUUUUGUAGCUUAAAUGCAUGAAUUUCAUUAAAAGUAAAACUGGGACAGAUGCAUUGAAAACCUCUUUUGUGCACAGGGCUGCUUUCAUUAGCUCUCCUGACGCUUGAGAGCUGCCAGCACACCCAUUAUGCAGCUACAUGUUUUCAGAGUUUUGCAUUUUGGGUAUGAAACAGCAUAUUGGGCCCAAACUUCAGCCUGCACCAAGCGAGCUCUGCAGUGCCCUCAAAUAACCUCUCUUGAAUAAGGCAGGACUGAGCAAAAGCUCUCCAAACCAGUCCUUCAUAUUACUUAACAUUUGCACUGUGUGUGCAAACUGCUUCAGACGCAUUAUCUGCAAUAACCCUGUAAGGUAGGACAGUGUUAUUUUUGUCCUUAUUCCCACCCAUAUUGUUGUGUUCCCCUCCAUUUUACUGAUAGGUGAAGAGAUGCUGAGAGAUGCUGGAGAUAAUUUCAUCUGAGUUCUUGGGAGAGAUGACAUUCUGAGCAGAGGCUUCCUGGUUCAUAUCUCAGUCAUCGCACUGCACCAGCUCCCUGUCAGUCCAUGAGAGAAGCCUUUGAUCUGGUCUGGAAUGUGGGCAGAUUCACAAAAGCUCAUAUCACCUUCUGGUUCAAG